rnacentral:rRNA from 1 species
GNGGAAUAUUGGUCAAUGGGCGAGAGCCUGAACCAGCCAAGUCGCGUGAAGGAAGACAGUCCUAAGGAUUGUAAACUUCUUUUAUACGGGAAUAACGGGCGAUACGAGUAUUGCAUUGAAUGUACCGUAAGAAUAAGCAUCGGCUAACUCCGUGCCAGCAGCCGCGGUAAUACGGAGGAUGCGAGCGUUAUCCGGAUUUAUUGGGUUUAGAGGGUGCGUAGGUUGUUCGGUAAGUCAGCGGUGAAACCUGAGCGCUCAACGUUCAGCCUGCCGUUGAAACUGCCGGGCUUGAGUUCAGUGGCGGCAGGCGGAAUUCGUGGUGUAGCGGUGAAAUGCAUAGAUAUCACGAGGAACUCCGAUUGCGAAGGCAGCUUGCCAUACUGCGACUGACACUGAAGCACGAAGGCGUGGGUAUCAAACAGGAUUAGAUACCCUGGUAGUCCACGCAGUAAACGAUGAUUACUAGGAGUUUGCGAUAUACCGUCAAGCUUCCACAGCGAAAGCGUUAAGUAAUCCACCUGGGGAGUACGCCGGCAACGGUG